AUGGAGGGGCUCGACGUCGACGACGUCUUCCACCACUACCGGCUGAGCCCUACGGAAGUGGAGGCCGUCACCUACUACCUGCCACGCCUCCUCUCCGGCGAGACGCUGCACGGCGCCGACAAGCUCAUCCACCGCGUCGAAAUCUCCGGCUGCGAGCCCAAGGAUCUGGCCGCCCGAUACGCGCCCGCGCCGCAGGCCGUGAGCAGCGGCGAUCGGUUCUUCUUCACCACAUGCAAGAGCAAGAACGGGAGCAAGCUCCAGAGCGUGCGCGGCGCCGGUAGCGGCACCUGGAGCAUCCAGAAGACCACGGAGAUUUGCCAUGCGGGAUGCAAGGUCGGCGAGAUCAAGAACCUCUCCUUCAAGAAGAAGGGCAAGUCCACCGGCUGGGUCAUGGAGGAGUACCGGUGCCUGCUGCCGGAGGCCACCGUCAGCGACGGGGUGAAGGUGUUCUGCAAGAUGCACUUGGCUCAGCAUGCUCCUGACGCGGCCCGCCAGGAAUCGGAAGCGUACAAGCUUCAGCAACAGCAACGAGAGGCCUCAGUUGUGCUGGAGUCCACCCAAUCAGUUGUGUUGGAGUCUGUCAAGCAUUACAGCCAACAACAGAUUGUUCCUGAGGCUGGCUCAAGCAUUGCAAGGAGCUCAUCUGAAGAGGAUGUCUUUGAGCCGGAUGGGAAGGCAGAUGGUUUUGAUAUCGAAGAACUAAUGAGAAUGAUGGAAGCCGACCCAAUUGAAGUUGAGCCGGUCACUGGAACCAACACUGGCGUGGAGAUGGGCCAACAGGAACCUCUGUACCUGGAUGCCUUGGACCAAGGCGUGCUGGAGGGUAUGCUGCAGUCCGAUUGCUCUGCCUUCCAUGAUGCUGACAAGGAGAAGAGGUACAAUGCCGCGUCGGAUCUUGACGCUCCAUCGCUGCUUCAGGGACAGGACCACUUGUUCAAACCGCGGCCGUGCUCCUUCGAUCCAUUUGAAGCAGCGUGGAAUGACGAAGAGGCGCUCGAGAAGGAGAAGAGGUGCAAUGCUGCGGCCAAUCUUCACGCUGGAGGGCACAGCAACUUCUUCUCGCCUGCAAGUGUCUAUUAA
rnacentral:rRNA from 1 species